GACGAACGCUGGCGGCGUGCCUAACACAUGCAAGUCGAACGGAGAUUUCAGCAAUGAAAUCUUAGUGGCGAACGGGUGAGUAACGCGUAGACAACCUGCCUUCUAGAUGGGGACAACACCGCGAAAGUGGUGCUAAUACCGAAUGUUGUACUAGGGAUGCAUAUUCUUAGUACUAAAGAUGGCCUCUGUAUAUGCUAUCGCUAGAAGAUGGGUCUGCGUCUGAUUAGCUAGUUGGUGAGGUAAUGGCUCACCAAGGCGACGAUCAGUAGCCGGUCUGAGAGGAUGAACGGCCCCACUGGGACUGAGACACGGCCUAGACUCCUACGGGAGGCAGCAGUGGGGAAUCUUCCGCAAUGGACGAAAGUCUGACGGAGCAACGCCGCGUGAGUGAAGAAGGUUUUCGGAUCGUAAAGCUCUGUUUUCAGGGACGAAUGUGCAGUAUGUAAAUAAUGUGCUGUAAUGACGGUACCUGAGUAGAAAGCCACGGCUAACUACGUGCCAGCCGCCGCCGUAACAC
rnacentral:rRNA from 1 species